CAAGCUCAGGAAAUCUGUCUAAAGAAAACAAUGCCAUUUAGGUUAACUGCUCUUCUCUUUCAGAGACACAAUCAAAACUUCAGACACCAUCUCACAAACUUGUAGGAGAAAACAAAAAGCUGGAAACUACUAAGAAGCAUCUCUUGUUCCUCUGAAGUACUAGUUUUGGCUACUGCCAGAAACUGCUUGCUGGUUUGCUUACAUGAAUUUGAGUUCACAGUAGUGGUUCCUUCUAGUUGCCUUCCGUUUCUGACCCAGCCCACUGGUGGCCUCAGGAAGUCCUGUGCCAGCCCUGCUGACCGGAGGAGGGGAGAAGUACAGGCCAGAAGUGACAUUUCAAAGGUCACUGGUACAGGAUGAGAAAUGAAGG